rnacentral:rRNA from 1 species
CAGUGGGGAAUAUUGCACAAUGGGCGAAAGCCUGAUGCAGCGACGCCGCGUGAACGAUGAAGGCUUUCGAGUCGUAAAGUUCUGUUCUUGGGGAAGAUAACGACGGUACCCAAGGAGAAAGCACCGGCUAAAUACGUGCCAGCAGCCGCGGUAAUACGUAUGGUGCAAGCGUUGUCCGGAAUUACUGGGCGUAAAGAGUUCGUAGGCGGUUAGAUUAGUCAGAAGUGAAAGGCUACGGCUCAACCGUAGUAAGCUUUUGAAACUGUCUAACUUGAGUACUGGAGAGGAAAGCGGAAUUCCUAGUGUAGCGGUGAAAUGCGUAGAUAUUAGGAAGAACACCAGUGGCGAAGGCGGCUUUCUGGACAGUAACUGACGCUGAGGAACGAAAGCGUGGGGAGCGAACAGGAUUAGAUACCCUGGUAGUCCACGCCGUAAACGAUGAGAACUAGGUGUUGGGGGUCGAACCUCAGUGCCGCAGCUAACGCAGUAAGUUCUCCGC